ACACUUUUUGCCUUUUGUCCAAUAGUAACUGAGAUAUUUAAAGAAUUGUCUAAUCACAGGCAGUAUGCAGUGGAAAAAUCUUAAGGUCCAAAUUUCUCAAAACCAGUUGACUCUACACAAAAAUUGAUAGGAACCAUUCUUGUAGAACGCGAUCCAUUCUACAAUUUUUGCCUCUCCACUUUUUGCCAUUUGUCCAAUAGUAACUGAGAUAUCUAGAGAAUUGUCUAAUCACAGGCAGUAUGCAGUGGAAAAAUCUUAAGGUCCAAAUUUCUCAAAACCAGUUGACUCUACACAAAAAUUGAUAGAAACCAUUCUUGUAGAACGCGAUCCAUUCUACAAUUUUUGCCUCUACACUUUUUGCCAUUUGUCCAAUAGUAACUGAGAUAUCUAAAGAAUUGUCUAAUCACAGGCAGUAGGCGGUGGAAAAAUCUCAAGGUCCAAAUUUCUCAAAACCAGUUGACUCUACACAAAAAUUGAUAGAAACCAUUCUUGUAGAACGCGAUCCAUUCUACAAUUUUUGCCUCUACACUUUUUGCCAUUUGUUCAAUAGUAACUGAGAUAUCUAAAGAAUUGUCUAAUCACAGGCAGUAUGCAGUGGAAAAAUCUUAGGGACCAAAUUUCUCAAAAACGGUUGACGCUACACAAAAAUUGAUAGGAACCAUUCUUGUAGACCAUGAACCAAUCUACAACUUUCCCCUCUACAAUUUUUCCCAUUUGCCCAAUAGUACCG